UACAGAGGGCUCAAGCGUUGUUCGGAUUCAUUGGGCGUAAAGGGUGCGUAGGUGGCUUGGUAAGUUGAAGGUGAAAUCUCGGAGCUCAACUCCGAAACUGCCUUCAAUACUGCUGUGCUUGAGGACUGUAGAGGAGAAUGGAAUUCACGGUGUAGCAGUGAAAUGCGUAGAUAUCGUGAGGAAGACCAGUGGCGAAGGCGGGCUUCUGGUUGACAUCUGACGCUGAGGUGCGAAAGCUAGGGGAGCGAACGGG
rnacentral:rRNA from 1 species